rnacentral:rRNA from 1 species
AAGCGGUGGAGCAUGUGGCUUAAUUCGAGGCUACGCGAAGAACCUUAUCCCGGGCUUGACAUGUGCGAAAGCGGCAGGAAGUAGCCUGCGGAAACGUAAGGCCAACGGUACCCAGUCCGGAGCCUGCUACAGGUGCUGCAUGGCUGUCGUCAGCUCGUGUCGUGAGAUGUUGGGUUAAGUCCCGUAACGAGCGAAACCCUUGCCUCCAGUUGCCAGCGCGUCACGGCGGGGACUCUGGAGGGACUGCCGGUGUUAAACCGGAGGAAGGCGGGGAUG